UGUAGAAUGACUCUCGGCAACGGAUAUCUAGGCUCUUGCAUCGAUGAAGAACGUAGCGAAAUGCGAUACUUGGUGUGAAUUGCAGAAUCCCGUGAACCAUCGAGUCUUUGAACGCAAGUUGCGCCCGAAGCCAUUAGGUUGAGGGCACGUCUGCCUGGGUGUCACA
rnacentral:rRNA from 1 species